rnacentral:rRNA from 1 species
AAUCCAUAGGUUAAUGAGGCGAACCGGGGGAACUGAAACAUCUAAGUACCCCGAGGAAAAGAAAUCAACCGAGAUUCCCCCAGUAGCGGCGAGCGAACGGGGAGGAGCCCAGAGCCUGAAUCAGCAUGUGUGUUAGUGGAAGCGUCUGGAAAGGCGCGCGAUACAGGGUGACAGCCCCGUACACAAAAGCGCAUGUGCUGUGAGCUCGAUGAGUAGGGCGGGACACGUGGUAUCCUGUCUGAAUAUGGGGGGACCAUCCUCCAAGGCUAAAUACUCCUGACUGACCGAUAGUGAACCAGUACCGUGAGGGAAAGGCGAAAAGAACCCCGGCGAGGGGAGUGAAAAAGAACCUGAAACCGUGUACGUACAAGCAGUGGGAGCCCCACCACUAAGCCAGUGGUGAACUCCACAUACGCAUCCUUUGCUGAGGAUACGGUUAACGGAGCGAAAGCGACGUUCAACCUCAAAACAAGCAGAGGGGGCUUAGUGGUGGGGUGACUGCGUACCUUUUGUAUAAUGGGUCAGCGACUUAUAUUCUGUAGCAAGGUUAA